UACGUAGGGGGCAAGCGUUGUCCGGAUUUAUUGGGCGUAAAGAGCGUGUAGGCGGCCCGAUAAGUCCGCUGUGAAAGUCCAGGGCUCAACCCUGGAAUGCCGGUGGAAACUGUCGGGCUGGAGUCCGGAAGAGGCGAGUGGAAUUCCUGGUGUAGCGGUGAAAUGCGCAGAUAUCAGGAGGAACACCGGCGGCGAAGGCGGCACUCUGGGCCGGUACUGACGCUGAGGAGCGAAAGCGUGGGUAGCAAACAGG
rnacentral:rRNA from 1 species